GCGACCCCAGCGAUGGGCGGGGCCACCCGUCGAGUUUAAGCAUAUCAAUAAGCGGAGGAAAA
rnacentral:rRNA from 1 species